ensembl:lncRNA
CCUGCAUCAAAAUCGGUGGCGAGCGGAACAAAGGCCAUCCGUGGAGACAGUGGAUGUCCAGAGCACAAUGAACUGACAUAAAUCCUGUCCGUGUGCUAACACUCUGACCCCAGUAAGAAGAUGGAUGAGAACAGUGAUUUCAAACAGCGCGGGAAGCCCCGAGCAGGGUCUCCAGUCCCAGGCUUGCCAAAAGCAGUCCCACCCCACUGAAAAAUACAACUGACCAAUUCCUCUCUGGGGUCAUCUGAUGACAUGCUUUUUCCUGCAUUGUACCAGGGCCUAUAAUUUGGUAACCCAGAGGAGUGGCUGAUGGUGGCAUGUCAGGCCCAGGAAGAAAGAAUGUGGAGUGGGAAAAGAGCCUUUGAGUUCUCGGUGUCAUGAUACGUAAGUCUUACAGCACCCUCUAUUGUCUCUUUAUGACCCUCUGACCUUGUCCGUGCUCUUGCGUCUCCUGCACUGGUAGGUGGCUUCUUUACCACUAUACCACCUGGA